ensembl:lncRNA
ACCUCUUUGGCAAGCUGCCUCUGAUUAGGGCGCUAACAUGAGUCAACCUGCACCCUUACUUUGUAUUUGGAAAGAGCAUCUUUGGAGGCAUGGCCUAUAGACCAGUGGAGAUGCCACGGUUUUAGGCUCCAAUAAGCACUUACAACAGGUUUCAUGGUACUUGAAGGGACCACAUGGUUUUUAGUCCUGUCAAGACCCAAAGAAAAAUGCCCCAGUGAUCUAGAAAUUGGAACUAAACCACCUGCUGGAGGUGGCUCGAACUGCACACCCUGCUGUAAGGACAGCCGAUGAUACCGAAGUUCAGCUGUAAAACAACCUAAUUGUCUCCAUUGGAAGUUCGUCCUGAAGGAAUCCAAAAUAAUAGGACAGGCUCAUGUAAAAUAGCGAAACAAGAGCCACCAUUGGCCAAUUGACCUGCCAUGUUUGUUCACUAAUCAAAGCCAGGGUGGAUGCUUCCAUCCACUUCUAUACCUCUGAAUACCACCUCCUUAGAAAGGACUUCCAGCAGUUGCUUCUCUUACUAGCACCUGAUUCAUAUCUCCAACUUGGGCUAAAGCAAAAUACAUUUUCUUCUUUAUUGUGCUAAAGGGCACCACCCCUCCUCAAGUCACGGAAGCCAGAAAGCUGGUAAUUAACCAAGGCCCUUUGCAUCUAAUGUCAAAUCCAACCCUAAGUACAAACCCUAGAGAUUUUCUGAGAUGGCCCUUGAAUCAUCUUCUGCCUCCUUUCUCAGUACUCAUGUACUAGUUCAAGCACCGAUCUGCUCCAGUAACCUCUUAAUUGGUGUCCACCUCCACCCUUUCUGCUUUCAGUUCAUCUUUAUCACUGCCCCCAGCCAUUUCCCCCAAUUCCAGAUGUAGCCGGAUCAUUCCUCUGCUUAAUUAUCUUACAUGUCUCUCUAUGAAUAUAAUCCAAACAUUUUGUGUGUGUGUGUGGUAUAUAACUCUGUCACAAUCUACUUUGACCUGUAUUUUGGCUUAUCCCCCAUCAUCACUCUAUAUCACCUCUUCUCAUACUCUCCAGGUUGAGCAGCCCUUCUCUCCAUUAUUAGGCUCUCAUGUCAUCCUCACUGGCAGCAUUUAUCACAUUAGGGUAUAUCAUUUUAUCUGUCUGCCUCUGCCAUUUCUAAAGCAUAUACACUUCAGGAAGGAAGGUCUUGUUCAACACCACUUCCCAAACACCAAUCAUGGGAGCUGGCCUUUACGAAGUACUUGACUAAUACUUGCUGAAUAAAUUAAUAAAGGCAGUGGUGCCUAAUUUUAUGUUGCCCAUCAGGGAAAAUGUUUAUGUAUAUAUACCACUCACAUACACAUUAUUUGAUGAUUAUUUGAUAAAAGAUAGCAGGUCAAAAAAUUAUUUCCAUGGGCGAAUAGAUAAAGAAAUGGUACACACACACACACACACACACACACACAAAUCCACAAUGGAAUAUUAUUCAGUCAUAAAAAAGAAGGAAGGAAAUCCGGCCAUUUGCAAAAUAUGGAUGAACAUGGAUCAGCACAGAGGGCAUUAUGCUGAGUGAAAUAAGCCAGACAAAGACAAACACUGUAUGGCAUCACUGAUACAUGGAAUUUUUUAAAAAGCUGAUUGCAUAAAACCAAAGACUAGAGUGGUGGGGGCCAAGGGUUGAGGAAGAAGCAAUGAGGAGACAAAGUGUACAAACUUCUGCUUAUAAAAAGAUUACGUUUUGAGGCUCUAAUAUACAGCAUGGUCAUUACAGUUAGUAAUUCAGUAUCGCAUACCUGAAAAUUGCUGACAGUAGAUCUUAAGCAUUCUUCAGUUAACUAUGCGAGGUGGUGGGUUUCCUAAUUAUCUUGACCUUGGUAAUCAUUCCACAAUGUACAUGUACAUCAAGUCAUCAUGUUGUGCAUAUACGUCAUGUUAAAUAUAUACAGUUAUAUCUGUCAAUUAUUCCUUAAUAAAGUAGAGGAGGGUGAAAAAAAAUGAAUGUGAAAAACAGUAUGGACUUUGAAGUCACAUACCUGGUUUAAAAUCUCAGCCUUAAGAUGGAUUAGCUAAGUGAUUCUGGACAAGUCAGUUAAGCUCUCUUGUACAGUUUUUAAUCUGUAAAAUUUGGAUGAUAAUACACUUCAUGGGUGGGGCAGCAAUUAAAGGCAAGAGGCAUGUGUGAAGAAUUUGCCUCUGUGACCAACACAAGGUUGGUUUUCACAGAGGACAGUGUGGCAGAAUGACUCCUGUGGGCUAACUUGAAUGAUCUGCAGCCUUUUCAGGUCUUUUUAAUCCUGCUCUUGUGAUUUAACUGAAUUAAGCACCCUAUAGCCAGUUUCCUAAUAAGAAAAGAAGCUCAUUUAUUAGCUAGAUGGACAACAAAGUAAAAAUUAAAAUGGCUGCCAUUAACUAGACCCCCAUUUUCCUGUUUUUGGCCCCAGGAUAAAAUGAAACAAAACAAAACAAAACAAUAACAACAGCAAAAACUGUCUGGUAUCCAAGAAUUCCCACUAGAGGGAACUAUGUCAGGACAGAUUUUGGAGAUCAUGGGGUGUAGACUGCCCAUAUUAUUUCUGUGCAAAAAAGUAAUGCAGUGAUUAAGACCUUGGGGUUACUAUUUGCUUUCAAAUCCCAGCUUAACCAGCUCAAGUUUCAUAAACUCUCUCCCUCAAUUUUAUCCUCUGUAAAAUGAGGCUAAAGGGGGUACUUAUUUCAUAAAAUCGUCAUGAAGUUGAAAGAAAUAAUAUACUAGAUAGAUUCCUGGUAUGCGUGCUCAAUAAAUGUUGUCUGUGAUUGGAAUGGCUAUCAUUUAUUAUCAGAUUGGGACAGUUUGAGGUGAAAAGGUGUGCUGUUAAUAACUACGGAAGCAUAACAGGCUUAAACUGGGAUUGUCCUGGUCACACCUGGAGGUGUGAGCACCCUUGCUGUGAUGGUUUUGAUAAUGACGACGUCAUACAGAGCAAGGCAGAGGUGCUUCCCCAUUAGUCUUACUGUGUCCAUCUGACAAACCCCGACGCCAGUCUAGGAUCAGGACUCAGAUACAAUCCUUGUCCCCAUUGUUUUCCACUAAGAAUCAUCAACCAUUUGCUGCUACAACAAGCCAAAGGGAAAUGCAAUACAUGCAUUUUUUUCUCCUGAGACCGAAGCAGAUGAGAUGACAUUUAAAUGUAAGUGUACUGAAGCAAUUCAUUUUAUGUGGAGUGUCCAGUUUAAUAAAUCACAAUAUUGUGGCUGAGACCUGCUGACUGGGAUAAAUUUACCCUUUAGCUCGAAAUAUAUAUUUAGUAUCUAAAUUUCUGAACCUUGGUAUAGCCUUGCUUUUUUUUCUUUUCCUCUCCUCCCUCCCCCACCCCACUUAAAAAAAACAGAACAAAACAGACAAACAAACCAAAAAAAAAAAAAAAAAAAAAAACAUGGCAGAAAACCAAAUAAAGAGGGAAAUUCCGUACCACAGGCUGAAACCUGCUUUACCAAUUUUAUGCAACUUACAAUGUCAGAUCGUCACAUCAAGAAAAUAAAGCAACACAGUGAUCACUUUGUAACAUAUAGAAAUAUUGAAUUACUAUUGUUUAUACACCAAGAACUAACACAGUGUUGUAGGUCCAUUAUACUUCAAAAACAAAUAAACUAGCUAGUAGAAAAAGAGAUCAGAUUUGUGGUUACCAGGGGUGGGUGCGGUGGGGGGAGUGGCAGCGGAUGAGGGAACUGGGUGCAGGUAGUCAAGAGGUAUAAAAUUCCAGUCUUAAGAUAAAUACAAUACAGGGAUGUAAUGUAAUUAACAUGACAUGAUUAAUAUAAUCAACAUUGCCGUGUGUGAUAUGUGAACGUUGUUAAGAGAGUAAAUCCUAAGAGUUCUCAUCACAAAAUUCUUUUCCUUUUUCUUUUAUUUUUUAUCCAUAGGAGAUGAUGGAUGUUCACCCACUUUAUGACAGGAAUCAUUUCACGAUGUAUAUAAGUCGAGUCAUUAGGCGGUACACCUUAAACUUACACAGCACUGUAUGUUAAUUACAUCUCAAUAAAACUGGAAGAAAAAUAAGAAAAGCAUCUAUUCAUCUUAUCAUGAUUAUGUAGCAAGCAUCUACUGUGUACCCAGUACUGUGCUAGGAAAUAUUCAAGACUUGGUCCAAUGGGGGGGUUUCAAUCCAGUUCACAACAUAAAAGGAACAUUUUAUGAAACCACAAUGGUAUAAAACUAUACACAUCAAAGAUCUGUGAUGUGAGUAAGAUGAGCUCUUUCAGGGGAAGCCUGAUGAGGGAGGGAGGUUUUGAACUGGGCUUAGGGGUGGCUAAAAUCUGAAUAGAUGGGAAAGAAAUGGAAGAACCCAUUAGGUGGGGGGUGAUACCAGGAUAAGACAGGGCAGGAAGUUAAGACUGAGAAGGACCUUGACAUCUGAGGAUUAAUGUUCUUACAGAAAGACACUCAGGCAACUAAGAGGGUCAGGUUGCCUCAAGAACCUAAUGAUUCUAAGGCUCCCCUCUAGGCUUAUUGGAUACUUAGCAGAUCUGCUGUUCUAACCGCCCAGGAUUUGGAAACUUAAAAAUAGGUGGAAUUUCCCGCUGUGGAGGUUGCAGUGGGUUAAGAAUCCGACUACAGUUGCUUGGGUUGCGGUGGAGGUGCAUGUUUGAUCCCUAGCCGGGUGCGGUGGGUUAACGGAUCCAGCGUAACCUGUGGGUUCAAUCUCUGGCCCGGAACUUCCAUAUGCUGCUUGAAAGCAGCCAUAAAAAAUAAAGGCAAGGAAAGAAAAGAAAAAAAAAAAGAAAAGAAAGAAAAAUGGGAGUUCCCGUUGGGGCUCAGUGGUAAUGAACCCAACCCAAUCCAUGAGGCUGCGGGUUUAAUCCCUGGCCUUGCUCAGUGGGUUAAGGAUCCGGCAUUGCUGUGAGCUGUGGUGUAGGUCACAGAUGUGGCUCAGAUCCUGUGUAGUUGUGGCUGUGGCGUAGGCCAGCAGCUACAGCUCUGAUUUGACCCCUAGCCUCGGAACUUCCAUAUGCCACAGGUGCAGU